AUUUGCAAAAUUAGCAGAACAGCGGCGGGCACCUGACACCUCCCCCUUGGAAGGGACGCUAGCACGCAACGAACAAGCAAAGCGGUGGUAGGAAACUACGGUGGAGAGGAGGCGAGGGCGAGCAGCUCCCCAAUCUCCCAGCAUAGGGUUCCAUGGUCUGAAUCCCUCUCCGGGUCUCCAGCAAGCGGGCGGAAAAGCCCUCGCGCUUUCCCCACUCCAUUCCGUCCACUCAAACCCCGACGCCGGGAGGAAGAGGAGCCGGACCUGGCGGUGCUGGGCAUCCAAGGAACUCCCCGCCCCGAAUCGCCCUCUCUUCUUUGCGGUAUCCGUCGAUCACACCGCUGCAGUAUCAUGAGCAUCCUGGAGAACUUGCAUGCUUGAUGUACCCAGCUACUUCUAUUACGAAAACUUACGGUGAUCAAGUUAUUGAAGUAUUGACGGCAGGGUAGAAUCUGUUGGUCAGUUAUUGGUAUUGAGACCACUGGUGCUUUCCUUGCAAUAGCUGUAGAACAAAUGGGAGAAAGUAAAGGCGACGUAGGUAUACUUGUGCUAUAAUUAUCUUAGAUUGUGCUAGCUGGUCAUAUUCUUUCUUUGCUUCGCACAGCACACUCGGAUGAAUUUUGCCAGUGCCAAGGGUGUGUUGGCAAGUAUACACUACUCAGAGAUGAAGAAAACCCACGGCUAGCAAUCUUUGAGAGACGGCUUCCUUGCUGUGGUUGUGGGAUAGGGUGGUCUUCUUUUCUUUUAGGUUUCGUGUGCCCAUUGAUAUGGUACUUUGCAGCCACUCUUUACUGCUGCAAGUAUUACAAUAGGGAUCCUCGAGAGCGCCCUGGUCUUGCUGCCUCAGCUGUUGCGGCACUCAUCUUCGCAUUUCUGGCAAUCAUCGCUCUCACUGUGACGCUGAUAAUCUGUGCACACAAGUAACAUCCAGAGCAGGGAAAAAUGACGGUUGGACCCGUUAUUGGUAGCUCAGGCAUUCAGAAGGAACUUGUAUUUUAAGUGGCAGCAAGUUCUUGAUUGAAAUGUAGUUACCGUCACAUGCGGUUCCUCUGUUUUCAGUUGCCGUUGUUAAUCAACGAGGAAUUGAGGAUGUUCGUUGCUUUUUCGCAAACUCUGUGCCCGGCUUAAUUUUUUUGCUAUGGCUCAAGUUCUUCAA